rnacentral:misc_RNA from 1 species
CCCUAGCCCAGAUAUAAACGGUUACCCCGCAGUAAGUUUCGGAGCGUCGGAGGGUUUAGGAGUUGGUGUGCGCUGGCACGAGGAGUAUGAGUGGAUAGCUGGAAAUAGC